rnacentral:rRNA from 1 species
ACAGCAGCCGCGGGAAAACAGAGGGUGCGAGCGUUAAUCGGAUUAACUGGGCGUAAAGCGUGCGUAGGCGGCUAAUUGAGUCGGAUGUGAAAUCCCCGAGCUUAACUUGGGAAUUGCAUUCGAUACUGGUUAGCUAGAGUGUGGGAGAGGAUGGUAGAAUUCCAGGUGUAGCGGUGAAAUGCGUAGAGAUCUGGAGGAAUACCGAUGGCGAAGGCAGCCAUCUGGCCUAAUACUGACGCUGAGGUACGAAAGCAUGGGGAGCAAACAGGAUUAGAUACCCCAGUAGUCCCUGUCUCUUAUACA